rnacentral:rRNA from 1 species
AUUGAACGCUGGCGGCAGGCCUAACACAUGCAAGCCGUGCGGAGCGGCGGAUGGGUGAGUAACGCCUGGGAAUCUGCCUGGUAGUGGGGGAUAACGUCCGGAAACGGGUGCUAAUGCCGCUUACUAUUAGCUGAGCCUAGGUCGGCUUAGCUAGUUGGUGGGGUCAUGGCCUACCAAGGCGACGAUCCGUAACUGGUCUGAGAGGAUGAUCAGUCAGACUGCAACUGAGACACGGUCCAGACUCCGACGGGAGGCGGCAGUGGGGAAUAUGGGACAAUGGGCGAGAGUCGGAUCCAGCCAUGCCGCGUGUGUGAAGAAGGUCUUCGGAUUGUAAAGCACUUGAAGUUGGGAGGCGUUACCAACAGAAUAAGCACCGGCUAACUUCGUGCCAGCAGCCGCGGUAAUAC